GUGUGGUGCUGGAGCCUGAGCAGUGAUCCUGUGUCAUGUAACACAAAAAUACAGGUGUCAGCAAGAUGACUGCAAGGAUGAAGAACGGAGCUAAAUCCAGCAGACCUUGUUUCGGCAGAACUCCCACUGAAGUCAGGGUUUGUGAAAGUCGGGUCCAUGUGGAUCUUGCUGUAGCUCCAAGGACAGCUGAAAUCGACAUCAC